GGGUAAACCUGAGAAACCCGAAAGGUCGAAAGGGGAAAUUCAUUCGCGUUUCGGCCGUCGGAGUUGUGCGUUCGUGUGACGGAUGGCGCUUGCGUCGUCCGCGCCUUACGUGCUUCGAACCGGCGUCGAACGCGUGCACUUUUCCUCUAGUAGGACGUCGCGAUCCGUUGGGUGUCUGUCUAAGGCUUGGGGUGGAGCCCACGUGGACGUUUCACGACGUAUCCGCGUGGACCCUCGACGUCCCGGCAGACUCGCUCGACGGUACAUAGAUGGCGUGGGGCCGCUACUCAGUUAGCGUUCGGCCCGUAGCAAGCGCGUUCUGUGUUUGAUGGCGAUCGGACCUGGUGCCGAUUCUGUCCCAGAACGACUGUUGGCUGCGGUGUUCUCGAACAGACCUCUUUGAAACGCCGAUCAGCGACGCUAUAGCUUUGGGUACUUUCAGGACCC
rnacentral:rRNA from 1 species